GCUCCAAUUAAUGUGUUCUCCUCAAAACAGGCCUUGCAGGGAAGCUGGGACCAGUCCUUGAGAAUAUUCUCCCAGAGAAGAUAAAUCUUACCAAAGAGAACCCUAUUCCAGAAUAAACAAGAAGUUUGUUUCUCGAGCUUUGCUUACUACAAAAGCCAUCACUGUUACCUCACAAACACACACACAGACACACAACACAAAUGCGUCAUGAAUACAUCUAACAAUAAACACAGAUGGCUAGACAUUCAAACUGUUUCUCUAAAGUAAACUAAAAUAAAAAGAACUUUCACUUUGUUGAGUUUUUCUCAACAUAUGAAAAAAAUGUGACUAAGUUCAAAUAAGCUCCAAAGAAGAAAAUAAAUUAUGAGCACUGCUGAAAGGUCAUACAAAAGUGGGACUGCAACAAACACCAAGUUACUGCAUUGAAACCAUCAAAGCUGGAAUUUAACAGAACAAGCUGCAGACUAACUCAGCAUACUUCUGGAGCUGAGUUUUACACUUUAUCUUUCUCCUAAAAUACUUUUUGGAACAACAAAAUUAUUUACACAAUAAGGACUGUGGCUUUGCUGUUGCUGGGCUCAUUGCUGUGGCAUCUGGUCACUCAGCCUGGCUCCCCCGAGCUGAACUGGAAGCCUCUCACAUACAUUGUAUUUCUCAAGCAAAGGAAAGCUGGAAAUGCUCAGAGGCCAGAAAAAGUGGAGCAAAAUUUUUUCAUUUGUAUGGCUGGAUUGUCUUCUCUUCAGCCGGAGAAUUCAGAAGAUAAGUGAAAGAACAUUUAUACUUUCCCUCCUUUUCUGAGUAUCAUCAUAUUACUAGUUAUAUUAAUUUAACUGUACUGGUAAUUAAUUUUACUCUAUUGCCUAAUUAAAUCAAUUUCAAUCUGCAGCUUACAUGACGUGAAAACAAUAUUAAAUAAUUACUUAUUGACCAAAGGCAGAUUAAUUUUCAUCUAUUUCACCUAAUUUUUACCCUACAAGGAUAACGCCUAGAGAUAAUCAAAGCAGGAUGCUUCACAUGCAUUUUUACAAAUCUGUCUGCAACACUAUUCUCUCUUCUUCUCCUGACACAGAAGGGGAUUUAGUUCCCUUCUCUCAGUAAUGCUGAAAAGUAUUUUCAUUAGGCACCUCCUUGUAUCUUUCAUGAAGAUUAUUCCUUUGUGUAAGUAUGUUUAGAGGGGGAGAGAGAAAAAACUAUAUUGGUAGUAUCUAUAUUCUGUUGAGAAGAUGCUUUAAAUCAGCUUCUGUCAUUUUAUCAGCUGUUCUAAAAUAAAGAUCAAUUCGAUUUAAAUAUAAACAUUAUAAUUCAUCCAAAGUGUCAAAUACGAACUUGUAGGUUAAUUCUGACAGCAUUUCAGAGUUCUGAGGUGAUUUAGUUAAUUCACUGCAAUAAAUGCUUUUUGAUAUAUGGGAUUCCUAAUUCCUAAGAGGAUAAUUUAUUUUACACUUGAAAACACCAAAACUUUCCACUUCAUCUAAAGACCAAAUUCCACUGUACGACUGCAUCACGCUUUUGUAUUUCCCAAGUGACCCCCACGUCACAAAGAGUACUGGUGCUUCCAGAGACUCUGAUAAUGCAUUUGAAAAGGUGCUGGAAGCAAAUGGAUGUCAAAUGAAUUUUUCACAGCAAUAAAGAGGGCUCCUUUAAUUGAUACCAUGGGCUUGCUAACAGCAGCUCGUCUGAACACAUUCUGAUCACGGCGUGCUCAGCUCUGCCACGGCCCCACGGCCUGACUGGAAUCCAGCACCACGAGUGUCACACAGAAGUGUCCCCAGGUGGUUGGCAGUGUUAAAUGGCAGAUUAGAGACAGCACAACUAAUUUCUUUACUUUAAUCUUAUUAAGAGAACAACAGCUGUCAACUGUCACCAUUUCUGCACAAGGCCAGCGAGACAAGCGAGGGGCUGCGAACGGCAGAGCCACAACUUUAUUCCACCACACCUUCAACUCGCUGGGAUGGAAAACCCAAUGCACCUCCCACCCUCUUCUUCCCUUUUGGAGGAAAAUAACUGCUCUCAACUGCAAAGGUGUCAUCUCCAGACAUGCCAGGGGCAGCUGAAGGGCUGGAGCAGGAGGCCCUACAAAGCAGCAGUCUGAUGGGGAAGGUGAUCAGUACUGGUAAUUACCUGCUCAGCCGCAAAGAAGUGGGAGGUGAAAUGUUACUGAAAAAUGGUGCACAGAAUGGCUGUAGAGUGGAAUGGCUGAGGUGCAGACUCUGCACAGAACAUCCUUCCCACCAAAAAGGCCACAGAAAUACCAAGAGAGGAGCCUCUGCAUCCCAUGCAGCAAGACCAAGUUCCUUGGGCCACUUCCAGCUGACUCCAGACUCCCUGAGUCAGACUCUCACGGACCAACCCUGCAGGAGCAGUUUGCUUUAGAGAGCAGGAUCCUGUGUCAAAUUACGUGCAAGCUGAUGGAUAACUUCCCAACUUCCAUACUUUCAGGUGCCUACAAACUGGAGACUGCAAUUUGCUGUGAAGUUGAAUGAAAUGCUGUAUUUCAGGAGUGGAGCAAAGUUCUUCAGAAGAUGUUUUUAACAAACAAUGCUGUCAGAACAGUUUCUAUUAAUCUCUUGUCUGCCCCUGUACUUCCUUUGGAAAUACAGCUAGUGGAAAAUCCGUGUUAAUAAA